rnacentral:rRNA from 1 species
AAUGGGUCAGCGACUUAUAUUCUGUAGCAAGGUUAACCGAAUAGGGGAGCCGAAGGGAAACCGAGUCUUAACUGGGCGUUAAGUUGCAGGGUAUAGACCCGAAACCCGGUGAUCUAGCCAUGGGCAGGUUGAAGGUUGGGUAACACUAACUGGAGGACCGAACCGACUAAUGUUGAAAAAUUAGCGGAUGACUUGUGGCUGGGGGUGAAAGGCCAAUCAAACCGGGAGAUAGCUGGUUCUCCCCGAAAGCUAUUUAGGUAGCGCCUCGUGAAUUCAUCUCCGGGGGUAGAGCACUGUUUCGGCAAGGGGGUCAUCCCGACUUACCAACCCGAUGCAAACUGCGAAUACCGGAGAAUGUUAUCACGGGAGACACACGGCGGGUGCUAACGUCCGUCGUGAAGAGGGAAACAACCCAGACCGCCAGCUAAGGUCCCAAAGUCAUGGUUAAGUGGGAAACGAUGUGGGAAGGCCCAGACAGCCAGGAUGUUGGCUUAGAAGCAGCCAUCAUUUAAAGAAAGCGUAAUAGCUCACUGGUCGAGUCGGCCUGCGCGGAAGAUGUAACGGGGCUAAACCAUGCACCGAAGCUGCGGCAGCGACGCUGAU